GUGACGGAACGUUAGGUUUGUCACCGAAUUUCCUCCUUCAUCUGUGAGUGUGUGUGAAUGUGUGUGUAUGUAAAUGUAUGUGUAUAUGUAAAAAUGUAUAUAGAAGUCUGAGUGUCGUCUGGAGACCUCUAUGUAUGGAUAAAAAUUUUCGGUUAACGUUCGUGCUCAGAAACCCUUUGCAUAUGCAUUCAUAUUGAGUGUGGCUCAUUUUCUUUCCCUGAACACCGUAACUGUUCAGAAGCACAAAACUAUCUCCUAAAAGAGAUGACAGACAUUCCCUAGCAUAAAAAAAGAAAAAAGAAAAAAAAAAAAAAAGCUUGUGAAAUAUUUUACAGUUUCCAAGCUUGCUAUACUUUAAAAUUAUUUUCAUUGGUGAAAAUGGAGUUGGAAGAAUAUGGAUUUAAAAUGGUUUUUUGAUAGUUGACAAUGUGGUGUUCCAGUAUCACAUCAGUAAUUGAUGGGAUCAGCUUAAAAUUCCUGAUGUUGAUUUGGGGAUACAGUCUGUAAAUGUUUUUCAAGAACAUCUUGCACACAAUUUGUAUUAUGUAGAAUGUCAAUCAAAAUUCUUUUGUAUAUUUAAAGCUUAAACAUCAGUUUCUCCCCCUUCCCCCCAAUUUCAUCAAGUUUUCUGCCAAGUGCUCUUGAUGAUUUCUUUAAAUUGCUUUUGGGUAAAAAAAACAAAAAUCAAACAGUAUCUAAAUGCAACCCAUGCCCUUGUUAAUGAACAAGAUUGCCAGAAUGUACCUGUUGUUCUAACAAUAUAGAUAUAUAAAUCUUAGAAAUUUCCACCCAAGACUUAAAGGAAGAAUUCUCUGAAAGGAUAAAGAUUAUUUUUAAAAAUUUUUUAAUGGGGUGCCUUUUUUUUUUUUUUUUUCUUUUCUAUUUCUGUUUUGUAGGACAACCUACAUCUUCUGUAAAUAUAGGUCUGGACUAAAGGACACUUAGAGUGUCACAAAAUAUCAACAUCAGUAGAGAUGCCCAGAUCUAUUUAUCUCUGAGUAUAUUUAAAGUGGUUUGCUGUUAUAUGUUGUCAUUUUAAAUUGUGUGUCAGUAAAGCUACCUGUAAAAUUUCAGUCCAAAAAAAUAAAGCUCUCAGGGAGAAAUGAAUAAAAACAAUGAACAUUAGAAAAUAAAAUAUAGAUGCUUACCAUUAACCUACCAACUUUCAAUAUCCUUAAAUUAUAUGAUAUAUAAAGAGGACUGUUACUUUUUUUUUUUUUUUUUUUUUUGCUUUAUUUAUUUGUAGUGGGGUGGGAGGUGGGGUGGGGCUGACAUUUUCUCUUUUCUUUCCAUCUAUCCUGUCGUGGUUGGGUUUCCUGUGGAGAGAGUAGUUUUUCCUGUUGCACUAGAACAUUAUUUACUCACAAAAUUGAGUUCUUCAGUCAACUAACAAAUAUUUAUUAAGUAUCUACUAUGUACCAGGCAUAGUAGAUCUACAGUGAUGAGCAAGACAGAGUCCCUGCCCACAAGGAGCUUACGUUCUAAUCAGAAUAUUCAGGGAUGAAUAAAAAAAUCAAUGUGCGUGCUGUACAGAACUCAUACUAUUUAAAAAUGAUUUGUCUAAACUACAAUGCUUAGUGCAGAUGGCGAAGUAUCUGUGCUGUACGAAAGCUGUGAAAUAAUGCUCUAAGAGUUGUCAAGAGCUGUGGUUUUACAUUUUUUCCUCAUUGCAAACUUAGCGACUUUCCACCCAUUCGAUGGAAGCAAAUGACUCUUGCAAAUGACAGUUAUAAAUACAAAGCAGAGGUUACACUCCCCCAGCUCCUAGUUAACCAAGGUCUGCAACUACACCAUGUUAAAGGUGCAAUUGGAGACUAGGCUCAAACAGGCUUGGAGAGGAGGGGGAGUGGAAUAGGAUGAUGGUUUUCUCUGUUCCUUAACUAAAGUGCCUCUAUGUACAUUUUUUUUCUAUUUAUAGUAGGAGAAAUUUGGUCUGGCUCAAUUUUGGAACUGUACUUUGAAAAUGGCUUUGUCUUACAGUUUAAGGAAUGAACUAGUGGAAGGAGAGUCACAAAAGGAGCAAGUUUGUGUAGCAUGUCCCUCUUGCCCUUGGUAAUCAUCCUCAUUUUGUCAUGGCCAUCCUGGUAGGCCUCCUUUGCCAUUUCCAUUUUUUGGUUUCUUUCCCUGAAAACUGUGUGCAGGUAAUUCCAUGUGCCAUUGUUGAAAACAAAACAAACAAACAAACAAAAAAAAAAAAAACUACUUUUUAGAUUGGUGCUGGUGUAAAGUAGCCACUUUUCUCUCUUGGGUGUGUAUUUUAAAGUUUUUGUUUGUUUUUUUUAAAUUAAUGCCAAAAAGAAAAAGCAUUAUAAUUUGUAAACUUAAUUAUAUGUCUUGUAUCUUAUUAGCUUAGUAGUUGGAACCACUUAGUCUCUAGGUGCAAGACUGUUGUUACAGUACCAAGAAAAAAAAUGUCGUAUGUGUUAUGAGACUGUACAUUUUUUUAAAUAGCAAUAUGCAAUAAAGAUGACUUCAUUGGGUGUACAUAUAUGCUUUCUAUGAAUUAUUAAAAUGCCA
rnacentral:lncRNA from 1 species